AACGAACGCUGGCGGCAGGCCUAACACAUGCAAGUCGAGCGGACGUACCGUGGUCAGCGGCGGACGGGUGUGUAACGCGUGGGAAGAGGCCCGUCUCUACGGAAUAGUACUGUGAAACUGGGGGUAAUACCGUGUACGCCCCGUGGGGGACAGAUAGAGCGGGGGAGGAUUAGCCCGCGUUGUUUUAGGUUGUUGGUGGGGUAAUGGCCUACGAAGCCGACGAUCCCUAGCUGGUUUGAGAGGAUGGUCCGCGACACUGAGACUGAGAAGCGGUGCAGACUAUUACGGGAGGGAGCAGUGGCGAAUCCUGGAAUACGGGGUGAAUCAUGAUGUCGUCAUGGCUGGUAAGUGAUGAAGGCGGUAGGGUUGUGCAGCUCUUUCAGCCCGUACUGUAAUGACGGUACCAGAAGAAGAAGCCCCGGCUAACUCCGU
rnacentral:rRNA from 1 species